AUGGCAACACCGAAGUUUUAUGGUGGCGACCAAGGUGUUGCGAUUUUUUGCUACUACCGGAAGCAUGAAAAGCUACCACAGGCGGUCAUUUUUGCUACAACCGGCAAUGAAAAAGCUACAAUCGGAUAUGUGAUUUGCUGCAACGGCCACGGCGAAGUUUGUGGUGGCUACGGCGGCGCUGGUAUUUUUGCUGCAACUGACAGCGGGAAAAGCUACAACCGACGAAGGUUGAAGCAAAUCGUGGUCGCCGCCAUUACUGUCGACAUGAAUGGUUGUAGGGAUUCCUGUCACCGGUCGUAG
rnacentral:rRNA from 1 species